UCGUUCCUACGGGGGGCAGCAGUGAGGAAUAUUGGUCAAUGGGCGAGAGCCUGAACCAGCCAAGUCGCGUGAGGGAAGACGGUCCUAUGGAUUGUAAACCUCUUUUGCCGGGGAGCAAAAAGCGGUACGUGUACCGCAUCGAGAGUACCCGGAGAAAAAGCAUCGGCUAACUCCGUGCCAGCAGCCGCGGUAAUACGGAGGAUGCGAGCGUUAUCCGGAUUUAUUGGGUUUAAAGGGUGCGCAGGCGGCGAGUUAAGUCAGCGGUAAAAUUGAGGGGCUCAACCCCUUCCCGCCAUUGAAACUGG
rnacentral:rRNA from 1 species